rnacentral:rRNA from 1 species
AUUGAACGCUGGCGGCAGGCCUAACACAUGCAAGUCGAACGAGUGGCGGACGGGUGAGUAAUGUCUGGGAACCUGCCUGAUGGAGGGGGAAAACUACUGGAAACGGUAGCUAAUACCGCAUACCAUCGGAUGUGCCCAGUUGGGAUUAGCUAGUAGGUGGGGUAAAGGCUCACCUAGGCGACGAUCCCUAGCUGGUCUGAGAGGAUGACCAUCCACGCUGGAACGGAUGCACGGACCGGACUCCUACGGUAGGGAGCAGUGGCAGAUAUUGCACAAAGGGCGCAAGGCGUAUGCAGGCAUGCCGUGUGUAUGAAGGAGGCCUUCGGGUUGUAAAGUACUUUCAGCGGGGAGGCGUUACCAGCAGAAGAAGCACCGGCUAACUCCGUGCCAGCAGCCGCGGUAAUAC